CUGAGGGUGGUGGAGGGAACGAGUAGGGGGGACCAAUAAACUAACAGGGAAAAGAGAAAUCAUUGUCAAGAGGCUGAGGGAGGGAAGACUGGAAGAUAGAUUUUUAGGGAGGGCGGGGGUCUAUAUAGCGGUUGUAGGAGAUCAGUUUAUAAGAACUGAGGAGUUGAACGAGGAAGCGGAUGGCGAAGGGGAAAGAGGAACUCUCAGUAGCAGAUCAGUUCGAACACGCUGCGGUGGGAAGUCAGCAACAUCCCCUCAGCAGGUACCUCCUCUAGGAAGAUAUCUUCGUUCCAGUUGCCCAUCCUCACGCAGAAAAGCAUGAAGAGAUUUACAUAAACAGAUGCACAAUGAAAUAAGCAGAGACAAGAAAACCACAAUUCCCUAAUGAGUACUGAAACAAGCUUCCAGCAUCAGCAGUUUGAUCUUUUCAAGGUCAAGCAGAAAGCUCCUAUUAUCAAUUCCUUGCUCUUCCUCUCCCACGUUACUACCACUUUUUUCUCCUUUUCUUCCUCAAGAUAAUAAGUUGGAAGAUGAGAUUUAAAUAUAUCCAGUAACUACACUAAUUCAAGAUUAAGCUUUCUUAUUUAGCUGACAAAGGUUCCUUUUACACUCCCACCUUAGUGCUAGUAUUGGUCCUAGAU